UACGGGGGGAGCAAGCGUUGUUCGGAUUUACUGGGCGUAAAGGGCGCGUAGGCGGUAGCACAAGUCAGUUGUGAAAUCUCCGGGCUUAACUCGGAAAGGUCAACUGAUACUGUGCGACUAGAGUGCAGAAGGGGCAACUGGAAUUCUCGGUGUAGCGGUGAAAUGCGUAGAUAUCGAGAGGAACACCUGCGGCGAAGGCGAGUCCCUGGACAAGACCUGACACUGAGGCACGAAAGCCAGGGGAGCAAACAGG
rnacentral:rRNA from 1 species